AGCAGUCGCCACGGUAAUACGGAGGGUGCAAGCGUUAAUCGGAAUUACUGGGCGUAAAGCGCACGCAGGCGGUCUGUCAAGUCAGAUGUGAAAUCCCCGGGCUUAACCUGGGAACUGCAUUUGAAACUGGCAGGCUAGAGUCUUGUAGAGGGGGGUAGAAUUCCAGGUGUAGCGGUGAAAUGCGUAGAGAUCUGGAGGAAUACCGAUGGCGAAGGCAGCCAUCUGGCCUAAUACUGACGCUGAGGUACGAAAGCAUGGGGAGCAAACAGGAUUAGAGACCCCAGUAGUCCCUGUCUCUUAUAC
rnacentral:rRNA from 1 species